rnacentral:lncRNA from 1 species
UUAUUUUCCACACAUCCAUCAACAUGCUGAAAUUUAACAGCAUUUAUUUGAACGCUUGUAGCAAGUGUUGGAACAUAUCUCGAGAUGUGGAAUGAGUUUGCUGAUAUCCUUGAACACCACCUGAAAAGAAUAUUUAUACAUAGUGAGGGAACAUCAAAACAACAAUGACGCAUAAAACGCAAUUCUAGCAAAAGUAUAGUUUUACCAAAUCAUGAACAGCAUCAAUACAGCUUUCAAAAACAGUACCACAACACACAAUCAAUGCAGUGUAAAAAGCAAAGAUGAACAAGAUCUGAUGAGCGCUGCGGUUUAUACGUAGGUGCUAUGUAACGAUUAUUUAUGUCGACCUUCAACUACUCCGAAUAGACGUCCAAUGAAUUCACUCGA